UUGUUAGGUACAAGUGUGGUUCUUGAAUCAAUUCAAGGGAAAGCUUGAAAUUCUUGAGUUAGUGGAACUAACAAAGUUCAAGGUUAGCGAAUUGGCGUGAAGUAUACGUUGCUUCUUGGUGAGGAUUGCGUGUUUACUUCGAGGUGAGACAGGAUCUAGUGCACAGGCUGCGGAUCAGCAGGAGGACGCGUGACGGAGGUGGCC